UAAGGAACAAAAUGCUGAGUAACAACAUGAAGUCAGAGUGUUGCUUGCCAAGAGCUGGGAGGCCUGGGUGGUUUCCCAAUCUUAAAGAAGCAGAAGGAUAUUAAAGUGAGCCUCCCAAAGGAAAACGUGGAUCUACUUACCAACGCAGAAAAUGAUACACACGGAUUCGAUUUAGGCUGGAGUACAGUAACUGCAACCUCCGCCUCCCAGGUUCCGGUGAUUCUCAUGGCUCAGUCUCCCAAGGAGCUGGGAUUACAGGCACGCUACAUUCAAAUGACUUGGAAGAGCAGGUUCUCUGAGCCAGGAUACUAAAGUCCCUGUUUAGGAAAGAGCCACGUUGUAUGUUUACCCUACCACAAAGAUACAGUCAUGUGCCUGGGAAAGAUUGAUGCCAGCUCCAGAAAGGCAUCCGAAUGGUCUAAGUAAUGCCAUCCAUCUGUCAGUAAUAGAUUCAGAAAUGGGUAUGUGAUUCAAGUCUGGCCAAUGAGAUGUAUGCAGAAGAGUGCUGGGUAUUCUGGAAAAUUAUCCCUUGUCAUUCAGAGAUCCACAGGAAUCCAGCCUUUUGCUCCUUGAAUGGGAUAAGGAAGCACAUAA
rnacentral:lncRNA from 1 species